CCCCCCAGCAAGAACAUAAGUAUUGGGGGUAAUGCCUGCCCAGUGACACUGUUAAACGGCCGCGGUAUCCUAACCGUGCAAAGGUAGCGUAAUCACUUGUCUUUUAAAUAAAGACUAGAAUGAAUGGCCAAACGAGGCUCUACCUGUCUCUUACAAAUAAUCAGUGAAAUUGAUCUUCCCGUGCAAAAGCGGGGAUAACACUAUAAGACGAGAAGACCCUGUGGAACUUCAAAUAUAAAAUCAACUAUCACCAACACCCACCCACGGGCCCUAUACCAAACAGCACCUGAUUUUUAUUUUCGGUUGGGGCGACCUCGGAACAAAACAAAACCUCCGAAAAAUAAAAAACCCUUUAAACCUAGAACAACAGUUCAAAGUGCUUCCGGCAAAACGAUCCAAUACACUUGAUCAACGAACCAAGCUACCCCAGGGAUAACAGCGCAAUCCCAUCCUAGAGUCCCUAUCGACGAUGGGGUUUACGACCUCGAUGUUGGAUCAGGACAUCCUAAUGGUGUAGCCGCUAUUAAGGGUUCGUUUGUUCAACGAUU
rnacentral:rRNA from 2 species